UACAGAGGCCUCGAGCGUUGUUCGGAAUUACUGGGCGUAAAGGGAAUGUAGGUGGUGACGUAAGUCAGAUGUGAAAGCCCUGGGCUUAACCUGGGAAGUGCAUUUGAUACUGCGUUGCUUGAGUGCAAGAGAGGAAAGCGGAAUUCCCAGUGUAGGAGUGAAAUCCGUAGAUAUUGGGAGGAAUACCGAUGGCGAAGGCAGCUUUCUGGCUUGUAACUGACACUGAGAUUCGAAAGCGUGGGUAGCAAACAGG
rnacentral:rRNA from 1 species